rnacentral:lncRNA from 1 species
UACAGGUCCCAAGGUAUUCUGUUAUUUUGGUAAUCAUCAAUCACCAUUGACCACGGCUACAUUUAAAAAUGGGGUGUAGAUUGCAAGUUUAUCAGGAUCUCAAUAGCUCCUUCAAUGAAAACCUGACCAUUAACACGUCAAUUAGUCAUUUACAUUUACUGUGAUAUAGUUUGGUCUAUGACACGGCCAAACCUUACAGCACUUUUCAAUUUAAAUCUUCAUAUAAAAUGUAAAUGUUUUGUGUUUAGAUCUAAUGUUCCUCUGUUAUGGAGACGUAAAUGCAAACAGAACAUGGAGGCAGAUUUUCACAGAUUAGAGGCUCAACAAACAGAAGAAAAAUCAAUACCCAAAGCACCAUCACAAGAGGAUGUCAAAGAAGAGAAGAAGAAUGAAAAGAAACAACAAGUUUCUGAAAAAGACGAAGAGGAAGAGCAAAUAAACAUCAGAUCUAAUUCUCCUCUAUUGUGGAGCCGUAAAUGCAAACAGAACAUGGAAGCAGAUUUUCACAGAUUAGAGGCUCAACAACAAAAGAAAAAAUCAAAACCCAAAGCACCAUCACAAGAGAAUGUCAAAGAAGAGAAGAAGAAAUGAAAAGAAACAAGUUUCUGAAAAAGACAAAGAGGAAGAGCAAAUAAACAUCAGGUCCAUAUGAAUGUUAUUUAGAGCAUAAUAUUGUGUUUAAAUAUUCAUAUACGUCAUAGAUCGUGUCAAAAGAAGCCAUAUUUCUGUGCUGCUCGGUGUGAUUCUCAAUAUUUGAUCUUAUACGGGGUUCUUUGUUCAGGAUGGAGCAUGAAACUUUGAUGAAGACUGCCAAGGACAAGCAAGCAGCUGACAUGAAGAGAACGAAGGCCCAGUUGGGGGCAAGAAAUGGAGCAAUCCAAGUCAGAGUUAGACUUUCAGAUCCAAGAAGAGAACAAGAAGCUGAAGGAGGACCUGGAGGAAAGCCAGAGGGUAACCAGACAAUUUUGACCUGUUUUUUAUUUAUUGCAGAAAAACGUUCCAGCUCUUGACAGAAAAAAGCCACGUGCAUUUGGCUUUUUUUUUUUUUUUUUUUUUUAAAAACACAUUGCUUUUUCCUCCUCGCUAUAACUCAUCCACAAAAAAUUCGAAACUCUAAACGGGUUUGCGGUAAAGUGUGGCUGGAGCAUGUUAUAUU